UUUCAGGGAAGUUUAAAGCUGUGCUGCUGCUGUGCCAUGGGAGGGGAGGACCACUGCAGGAGAAAUUCGGUAAACUGAGACUGUCUGCCUGAGUCUUGACUGAAAAGAAUCACCAAUAUUUCCCAUGUCCUGGUCAAUGCUUUGUUUCAUGUUGAACUCUGAAUUAGGAAAGUCAUGUAGCAUCUGGGAGGGGGUUCUGCUGAGUGUGGGGCACUUUUGAUACAGGUUAUUGGUGGUGAAGGGACUGACACAAAGCAAGCAGGCUUUGAUGCAGGGAGCUCAGUGCAGUCUGAGACAGCUCUGUCUGAUGGAGCAAAGAAUCUAAGUGCCAAAGGUGAUCUAAACAAUAGGAGGAAGAAAGGGGCCAGUGCUGUCAGACACAUACAACUGCUGAGGAGAAAAGCUAUCCUGUAAUACCAAGUAGUGAGAAAUUCAAUAAGUUCACUUUGUGUGUCAAAACAUAUUGCAGAAAAAACUAUCUAUAGAAAGUGGCAGCACAAGGGAAUGAAUGUAAUCGCAAAAUAGUCAAUAAGAUAGAGUGGAAAUAUAAAAUAAAUGCUGUGUGGAGACAAAUGGAGAAAUAUUGUUAGUGCCAGUAAACAACAGAGUACUUGCUGUCUUUCACAGGUAAAGCAUGGAAAAAUGUUUUGCAUUCUCCUGAAAAACUCAGGGUAACUUCAAAUGGUGAAGAAAUAAAUGGAUAACGAAAACAGCUUUGGGUCAAAGUUUCCGCUAUGACUAUGGAAUAAUCUGGAAUGGCCUUCUGUUUCAGGAGCUGGAGCUUGAAAAGCAAGCAACCCCAGCAGUCCAGCUCAGAAAACCAGUUUAUUUCAUGGUAACUGAGAAGGUGAAGAAGAAAUCCUUCAUGCUUCUUCCUGUUUGCCAUAAAUUCCUGCUGCUGCUGACUGCUGAAGUCAGGAUGUGAGGGUCAUUGGCAAAGUUUAGAAAAUUAACUUGAAACCAACUUGGAAGCCUUCUACAGAGACUCUUUGCUUCUGCACACCACGGGUCGGCUCCCUGCUCCCAGGUGACGAGAUUUUACAAAUCAAGAAGUCCUGAGGAGAUUUUCACCUCCUUUCCAAACAAACACAGAGACCAGGGGAAAAAAUGUUUCCAAGAAGAUAAGUUGAAUUGAGAAAAAAACAAACACAAAGCAGAAUCAUUUAUGGAGGCUGUCUAACUCUGCCAGAGGUGCUGCUUCAACCCCAGUGACCCGAGCUAUGCAGGACAUGCAAGAAUAUGGAGCUGGAGCAAGGGAAGGGAGCCAGCAGAAAAGCUUCAGGCAGGUCAUCAGGAGACCUGCUUACUUCUCUUUGAAAAGAGCCAGAAAGAAGUCGGACUUUUAUCCAAAGAUAAAAAGUCUGUUGAACAUAUCCCUGUGUUUUUGCUAUGUAUGUUGGCCACCUUUUGCUUUAGGUGAACCACCAAUAAACACAACCAGCAAUAAAGCACACCAAAAAA